rnacentral:rRNA from 1 species
UACGUAGGUGGCAAGGCGUUGUCCGGAAUUAUUGGGCGUAAAGGGCUCGCAGGCGGUUUCUUAAGUCUGAUGUGAAAGCCCCCGGCUCAACCGGGGAGGGUCGAUUGGAAACUGGGGAAACUUGAGUGCAGAAGAGGAGAGUGGAAUUCCACGUGUAGCGGUGAAAUGCGUAGAGAUGUGGAGGAACACCAGUGGCGAAGGCGACUCUCUGGUCUGUAACUGACGCUGAGGAGCGAAAGCGUGGGGAGCGAACAGG